GUAGGUGGCAAGCGUUGUCCGGAAUUAUUGGGCGUAAAGCGCGCGCAGGCGGUUCUUUAAGUCUGAUGUGAAAGCCCACGGCUCAACCGUGGAGGGUCAUUGGAAACUGGAGAACUUGAGUACAGAAGAGGAAAGCGGAAUUCCACGUGUAGCGGUGAAAUGCGUAGAGAUGUGGAGGAACACCAGUGGCGAAGGCGGCUUUCUGGUCUGUAACUGACGCUGAGGCGCGAAAGCGUGGGGAGCAAACAGGAUUAGAUACCCUGGUAGUCCACGCCGUAAACGAUGGGUGCUAAGUGUUAGGGGGUUUCCGCCCCCUUAGUGCUGCAGCUAACGCAUUAAGCACUCCGCCUGGGGAGUACGGCCGCAAGGCUG
rnacentral:rRNA from 1 species